CUUUCAUAUUAUUUACUACUACUACAUGAGAACAUAAAAGUGGCUUAACAAACAUGAAAUUUUUAUAUGUCGAUGUGCUUUCAUAAAGUUGUAUAAAUAAAAUCUUAUUUCAAAACCAGUAAGAAAAGUUACUGUCAUUUACUUAAAACACACACUACAGGCAAACAAAAAUCUUUUGUAGUGUCAGUUGCCCUUUGGAUAUACUGUAUGCUCUGGAUGUUUAUGUGGUUUGAACAGACUUUUCCUAAGUGAGCGUGGCCAUCGUACAGCAAGCUGCAUAAAUUCAGUAAUAAGAAAUUUUCAGUACUUUUUUUCCUGCAGGAAAUAAAAGCAGUCUGAGGGCAAUCUAGUAUUCAUUUUAUUAUGUACAACACUUGAAAGCCUGCUUAUGCGAAGACUUUUUAAUAUAGCCAUAAAAAUUAUCAAUUUCUAGAUUAAGAAAAAGGAAAGCACACCAAAUCUUUUGUACCUACUUUUGCCCUGUAAUUAUCUUUGACUAUUUUUAUCCUCCAAAGAAGUCUCUAGAGCAGCUUCUAAUAGAAACCAAGUGGUUUCUAAUAGAAACCACGAACAAAAAUGUUCAAGUUUGGUGUAAGUUUUGGGAACUAAAGCAGAACUUAUCCAGUUCUAUUCUUAUUUCAUUUUUCUCUACAUAGGAUAUGCAAAUACCUAAUUCCAUUUAACCAUCACUGAUCCAGGCAUUGGGCAACUAACGUUAAAUAUCAGAAGAAAGAUUCUUUAAAAAAAAAAAAAAGUCAAGUCAGAGACCAUAAAAAGAAAUCUCUAGGAAAGGUACAGAAUUUUCAGACCAUAAGGUCUGAAACUAGGCACUCGUCUCCCAACUGGAAAGAAGUGAGGAUAGAAGCAGACCAGAUCAUUCACGUGGUGAGUAGCUGGGAUAGGACUAAAACUCCAGGGUCUGAGCUUCCACGACGGCAUCUCUACACCUGACCCCAUAAAGGGAAGCCAACUCCAGAGUGGCCUCCAGGGGCGACGAGCGAAACAGCUCCACCCGCCCGCCAGUUCCACACUCCCGAGGCAGAGGCGGCGCUGCGGGAACAAAAGCGCGGCGGGAGGAUACCCGACAGAUAUUCAGCAGUAUGCUAAUGGAGCCUCUGACGAUUCAACGUUUCGCCGAAACCCCUUGUGGAACUGUUCAAGUAUUUCAUUCUGGUGCACUCUGCCCACAACAGAGAAGAGAGAGUCCCGCCGCACCGCCAGACUUAGGCGUUUGUCUGUAAGUAUACUGGGCAGCAACCCUUAUUUCCAAGGGCCAUAUUUUGUUAGAAUU
rnacentral:lncRNA from 1 species